rnacentral:rRNA from 1 species
GUGGGGAAUCUUCCGCAAUGGACGAAAGUCUGACGGAGCAACGCCGCGUGAGUGAUGAAGGUCUUCGGAUUGUAAAGCUCUGUUAAUCGGGAUGAAAGAGCCUAGUGUGAAUAAUGCUAGGAAGUGACGGUACCGGAAUAGAAAGCCACGGCUAACUACGUGCCAGCAGCCGCGGUAAUACGUAGGUGGCAAGCGUUGUCCGGAAUUAUUGGGCGUAAAGCGCGCGCAGGCGGAUCUGCCAGUCUGUCUUAAAAGUUCGGGGCUUAACCCCGUGAUGGGAUGGAAACUACGGAUCUAGAGUAUCGGAGAGGAAAGUGGAAUUCCUAGUGUAGCGGUGAAAUGCGUAGAUAUUAGGAAGAACACCAGUGGCGAAGGCGACUUUCUGGACGAAAACUGACGCUGAGGCGCGAAAGCCAGGGGAGCGAACGGGAUUAGAUACCCCAGUAGUCC